UAGAAGAGGAGGCUUGUACAGCACCUGUUACUCACUUUGCUUAUAUACUUGAUACCCUGGUCUUUGCAUUUAGUAAAUACCAGCAUAAGAACCUGCUCGUGCUUUACAAUGCCUUAGGAACAUUAGCAGAUUCAGUAGGACAUCAUUCAAACAAACCAGAAUAUAUUCAGAUGCUAAUGCCUCCACUGACCCAGAAAUGGAACAUGUUAAAUGGUGAAGAUAAGGAUCUCUUCCCUUUACCUGAGUGCCUAUCUUCAGUUGCCACAGCACUGCAGUCUGGCUUUCUUCCAUACUGUGAACCUGUGUAAGAGACAAUGAGGAAAACUUGCCCAAGCCAUGCUAAACAAUGCUCAACCAGAUCAAUAUGAAGCUCCAGAUAAAGAUUUUAUGUUAGUGUCUCUUGAUUUACUGAGUGGCCUGGCUGAAGGACUUGGAGGCAACAUUGAACAGCUGGUAGCCCAAAGUAACAUCCUAACACUAAUGCAUCAGUGGAUGCAGGAUAAAAUGCUAGAAGUUCGACAGAGUUAUUUUGCCCUGUUAGGUGACCUCACAAAAGCUUGCUUUCAGCAUGUUAAGCCUUGUAUAGCUGAUUUCAUGCCAAUACUGGGAAUCAACCCAAAUCCAGAAUUCAUUUCAGUCUGCAACAAUGCCACAUAGGCAGUUGGAGAAAUCUCCAUUCAAAUGGAUAUAGAGAUGCAGCCUUAUAUUCCUAUGGUGUUGCACUAGCUUGUAGAAAUCAUUAACAGACCCAACACACCAAAGACAUUGUUAGAGAAUACAGCAAUAACGAUUGGUCGUCUUGGUUACGUGUGUCUUCAAGAGGUGGCCCCCAUGCUACAGCAGUAUGAAGACCCUGGUGCACCUUUCUGAGAAACAUAAGAGACAAUGAGGAAAAGGAUUCAGCAUUCCGUGGAAUUUGUACCAUGAUCAUUGUGAAUCCCAGUAGUGUAAUCCAAGAUUUUAUAUUUUUUUGUGAUGCUGUUGCAUCAUGGAUUAACCCAAAAGAUGAUCUCAGAGACACAUUCGGUGUAAGAUCCUUCAUGGAUUUAAAAAUCAAGUAGGCGAUAAAAAUUGGAGGCAUUUCUCUGACCAGUUUCCUCUUCCCUUAAAAAGAGCGUCUUGCAGCUGUUUAUGGUGU
rnacentral:lncRNA from 1 species